ACCCGUUCCCAUGCCGAACACGAUGGUUAAGCUUCUAAGCGCCGAUGGUACUGCAAGGGUGACCUUGUGGGAGAGUAGGACGUUGCCAGGU
rnacentral:rRNA from 1 species